AAAGAUCGAUACCGAGGGGGGGGGGGGGCUGAUGCCCCGGAGAAUUUCUGCUCACGCAGGCAGCCUGUACCGCGUACAGUCUGAAACUCCCUAUACCUCAACAAACUGCCACUCCGGCGUAAAGGUAUCGUUCU
ncrna:Salmonella enterica subsp. enterica serovar Choleraesuis str. SCSA50 EFASI RNA